GAUGAACGCUGGCGGCGUGCCUAAUACAUGCAAGUCGAGCGAACGGACGAGAAGCUUGCGUCGCUGAUGUUAGCGGCGGACGUGUGAGUAACACGUGGAUAACCUACCUAUAAGACUGGGAUAACUUCGGGAAACCGGAGCUAAUACCGGAGAAUAUUUUGAACCGCAUUGUUCAAAGGUGAAAGACGGUCUUGCUGGCACUUAUAGAUGGAUCCGCGCUGUAUUAGCUAGUUGGUAAGGUAACGGCUUACCAAGGGAAGGAUGCAUAGCCGACCUGAGAGGGUGAUCGGCCACACUGGAACUGAGACACGGUCCAGAGUCCUACGGGAGGCCGCAGUAGGGAAUCGUCCGCAAUGGGCGAAAGCCUGACGGAGCAACGCCGCGUGAGUGAUGACGGUCUUCGGAUCGUAAAACUCUGUUAUGAGGGAAGAACAUAUGUGUAAGUAACUGUGCCCAUCUUGACGGUACCUAAUCAGAAAGCCACGGCUAACUACGUG
rnacentral:rRNA from 1 species